rnacentral:lncRNA from 1 species
UUAGGGUUUAAAACUCUAAUGCUGACUAAAGGAAAAAUUCAGUUUAGGGUUUAAAACCCUAAUGCUGAUUGCAUGGAAAAGCUCAGUUUAGGGUUUAAAACCCUAAUGCUGGCUGAAUGGGAAAAAGUUCAGUUUAGGGUUUAAAACCUUAAUGCUGACUGCAUGGAAAAGCUCAGUUUAGGGCUUAAAACCCUAAUGCUGGCUAAAAGGAAAGAAGUUCAGUUUAGGGUUUAAAACCCUAAUGCUGACUGAAAUGAAAAAAGUUCAGUUUAGGGUUUAAAACCCUAAUGCUGACUGCAUGGAAAAGCUCAGUUUAGGGCUUAAAACCCUAAUGCUGGAUAAAAGGAAAGAAGUUCAGUUUAGGGUUUAAAACCCUAAUGCUGACUGAAGAAAAAAUUCAGUUUAGGGUUUUAAACCCUAAUGCUGAUUGCAUAAAAAAGCUCAGUUUAGGGUUUAAAACCCUAAUGCUGGCUGAAA